rnacentral:sRNA from 1 species
CAGCCAGUUUGUGAACGAGGCCUGCAGGGCGCUGGUGUUCGGCGGCUGCGUGGAGAAGUCCUCUGUCAGCCGCAACCCUGAGGUGCCCUUUGAGAGCAGUGCCUACCGCAUCUCAGCUUCAGCCCGCGGCAAGGAGCUGCGCCUGAUACUGAGCCCUCUGCCUGGGGCCCAGCCCCCCCAGGAGCCGCUGGCCCUGGUCUUCCGCUUCGGCAUGUCCGGCUCUUUUCAGCUGGUACCUCGCGAGGAGCUGCCACGCCAUGCCCACCUGCGCUUUUACACGGCCCCGCCUGGCCUCCGGCUCGCCCUGUGUUUCGUGGACAUCCGCCGGUUCGGCCGCUGGGACCUUGGGGGAAAGUGGCAGCCGGGCCGCGGGCCCUGUGUCUUGCAGGAGUACCAGCAGUUCAGGCUGAAGAUCCCCCCCUUUGAGAAGGCCCGCUCGGUCCUGGAGGCCCUGCAGCAGCGCAGGCCGAGCCCGGAGCUGACCCUGAGCCAGAAGAUCAGGACCAAGCUGCAGAAUCCAGACUUGCUGGAGCUAUGUCACUCAGUGCCCAAGGAAGUGGUCCAGUUGGGGGGAUCCUGGACCCUUGGCACCCAAAGGUAAGCUAUUCCUAA